GCAGGGGCCUCCUUGGCUGUGGUAGGAGCAGGUGCGGCCUCCUUGGCUGUGGUAGGAGCAGGUGCGGCCUCCUUGGCUGUGGCAGGAGCAGGUGCGGCCUCCUUGGCUGUGGUAG